UACGGGGGGGGCAAGCGUUGUUCGGAAUUACUGGGCGUAAAGGGCUCGUAGGCGGCCAACUAAGUCAGACGUGAAAUCCCUCGGCUUAACCGGGGAACUGCGUCUGAUACUGGAUGGCUAGAGUUUGGGAGAGGGAUGCGGAAUUCCAGGUGUAGCGGUGAAAUGCGUAGAUAUCUGGAGGAACACCGAUGGCGAAGGCAGCUUGCUGGGACGGUACUGACGCUGAGACGCGAAAGCGUGGGGAGCAAACAGG
rnacentral:rRNA from 1 species